AAACCAAUGGCACUUUAGUCAUUCUUCAUUCUCUUGCCUUUAAACCCUAACCUGUCUCCUCUCAUUUGUCACUCCUCCUUUCCCUGUCUUACGUCUUCAUUACUGUUUUUUUCCCUCUUUUGUGCCGCCGCCACCAGCUACGGUAAUAUUGGAGAUGAACUAGGACUUGUAUCUUGAUCAUGUUAUUUUCGGUUGAAUGCAUUCUUUGGUGUUAUGUAGGGUUGGAGACACUUGUGUCUCGGAUUUCAUUGUGAUUCUACUGUUGCUGUUAUCUGCCCAAUGAUGGAAAACUCAUUUUUGAUUGGAUGGUUCUGGUUCUCUAUUCAUCUCUGGCUUUUGCACUCCACCUACUUUCAUUCCCUCUCUCUCUCUCUCUCUCUCUCUCUCUCUCUCUCUCUCUCUCUCAAUGUACACAUGUUUUGUGUGUAUGUAUAUAUAUAUAUAUUAGAUAUUUCUUUGGUGGUAAGGUGGUGUGUGAAAAGCUAUUGAUGAAUGCGAGUACUUUGAACUUUACAUGAUCUUGACAAAGCUAUGAGAUCUGAGGGUUCUUUUUAGUUGCACUUUUCCAAAAGAGGCCAAUUUAUUCCCCCAAAAGUUGUAUAUGGUAUUAAAUGCCAUAGAGAGUGCCAAACUAUAAGUAUAUAUGUGUAUUUUAUUCACUUUUCUUUUUCCUUUGAGCAUACUUUUCUGGGCAGUCUUAGAAAUAUAUCUUACUUGUUGUGUUAAA